rnacentral:rRNA from 1 species
AACGAACGCUGGCGGCGCGCCUAAUACAUGCAAGUCGAGCGAGAAGACGUAGCAAUACGUUUGUAAAGCGGCGAACGGGUGAGGAAUACAUGGGUAACCUACCCUCGAGUGGGGAAUAACUAGCCGAAAGGUUAGCUAAUACCGCGUACGCUCCUUGGACUUCGGUUCAGGGAGGAAAGCGAUACCGUGGGUAUCGCGCUCUUGGAUGGGCUCAUGUCCUAUCAGCUUGUUGGNGAGGUAACGGCUCACCAAGGCUUCGACGGGUAGCUGGUCUGAGAGGACGAUCAGCCACACUGGCACUGCGACACGGGCCAGACUCCUACGGGAGGCAGCAGUAAGGAAUAUUGCGCAAUGGGCGAAAGCCUGACGCAGCGACGCCGCGUGGGGGAGUGAAGGUCUUCGG